rnacentral:rRNA from 1 species
UACGUAGGGGGCAAGCGUUGUCCGGAAUCAUUGGGCGUAAAGAGCGCGUAGGCGGCCCAGUAAGUCCGCUCUGAAAGUCAGGGGCUCAACCCCUGGAUGCGGGUGGAUACUGCUGGGCUAGAGUCCGGAAGAGGUGAGUGGAAUUCCUGGUGUAGCGGUGAAAUGCGCAGAUAUCAGGAAGAACACCAAUGGCGAAGGCGGGUCUCUGGGCCGAUACUGACGCUGAGGAGCGAAAGCGUGGGGAGCGAACAGG